AGCCAGAUAAAGAGUUCCAAAUAGAACGAAACGUACGUCCUAGAU
rnacentral:hammerhead_ribozyme from 1 species